GAUUCACUCUUUGACUUAGUCUUGAUCAACCUUGUGUCUUUAUGACCAAUCUUUGGAUAAAACCUUGAAUACCACCUUGGUCAUCAUAUAAACUCCUUGAAACCAACAGAUGGACUUCAAGAAGUGCCUACAGACAAAUCCUUCAAAUAUAACUCAAGGCAACCAUUAGUCCAUAUGGAUUAUCAUCAAUUACCAAAACCACGUAUGGAGAAAUGUGCUCUAACACCCGGCAAUGCUCGAAUCUCAUGCGUGAAACGAGGCACUAUCCCUUGCGACAAAUUUUCAUGUUG
rnacentral:lncRNA from 1 species